CAAUCUCUCAUCAUCCUCUGUAAUUCUCUAAUCCUCUCAGAGAGAAUUCUAAACUCAAGAGAAAAGAGAAGAUUGGAAGUCCAUCUCCUACACUCAAGAACCACUAUGAAUCAUCAUGGAUUCAGGUAUGCUUCCGCUUUCGUAUUUCUCAGUAAUUUAAUCUGGAUGUUAUGAAGAUUUAGGGGAUAACAAGUGGUAUCAGAGCCCCAUCCAUGAUUAGAUUAUUGAGUUAUUAAUUUCUGAUUAAUGGUUAUAGUCGAAUCAAACUGUUAAUGAAUGAUUCGGUUAUCGGGAAUAAUUAAAAUUAGUUUUGAUGGACUCAUGACGAAACAAAACUGGUAGAUUGAACACGUGAAAUCAUGGAUUCAAUUUCAAAAUCAUGCUUUGAUUCUCAGUUACGGUGGCCAUUAUUUUUAAUGUUUCGAUUUCAUUUUUUUUAGUUGCAUUUAAAUUUGAUUUUAGUUGGAAUGGCCAUGCUUUAUGAUCUCGAUUGGUUAUGUUUUCAAUAAUUCGCUUUAAGUAUGUAGUGGCUUUACU
rnacentral:lncRNA from 1 species